GAAUUAUUGGUGAAAUGUUGCUUCUAUACUUGACAUUUUAUAGUUAGAUCUUGUUUUUUCUCGGAUUUGAUUUCUAGAUCUAUUUUUUUCUCUUUUGUUCUUUUAGCUUCGUAUCAGGGUAUUGUUUUCUCUAAAGAUGAAAGGAUGGGUUAUGAUCUUCUGCAUCGAAGAAAUCAACGCAUUAAUAGUGUGAGUGAGAGAUUGUAUGUGUUUAUUGAAAUCAAGAGAAUUGAGAGAGUCGAGUAUAUAUACUCAGGUCCAUUGUAACAGACAAUUAACCUUUUCUAAUCAAUAUCAAACCCUUCAUCAACGUAGACAUACGAUAGUCACUAUGGUAUCAAACUCAGAAAUUUUAAUUUCUGAGGGUAAUCAAUCAUUUCCUGUGAUUUCUUCACCACUACCACCAUUAUUUCUCCACCACCACCACCACGAUCAUCAAAUCUCUUCAUCACCUUCUGCUGUUACUGAAAUCGGAGACUCGAAUUAUGUUUUCAAAGAGAAGAUACAAUUGGUAAUUGCUAGAGAUUGGUGAGUAUUUUUGCAGUAUUUUGGAGCAUCAUUAACUGUGUACAAUUCUUGAGAUCAAAGUUUGUCAGCUAGGUGUGUGAUUCUAUUGGAAGCAAUGGUGAGAUUCAAACUGAGUAUUUUUUUAUUGGUGUAAUUUGUACUUCUGUCUUACUACUGGUGGUACUUUGUCUGACUUUCUUUUUUAAAAUUUCUGCAACCACAAACUAUUGCUGUCCUACAAGUUGUUACACCUGCCUAGCUUCAUCUGUAUCAUUUAUCCUUGGUAUGUCUGCUAUCAAAUGCUCUGGUGCCUGGUGUUUCUCUUAUAAUCUUCUUGUUGAUAUUGGUGGUUGCCGUGCUUCGAUACUUAUACACCAACUUCUUAUACAAAUCCUAGUCUACUGAUUCUUUAUGACUAUUACUACACCGACAACUGCUUUUGACCUACUGCUUCUCUCAACUUCCUAUUCAAAAGCUGCAAUCUACUAUUCAGUUAUGCAUACAGCUGUUGCUUCUUUGCUACAGUUUUCAUAUCCAGGUUGGUACUUUGCUGAUUGAAUUCUAGUACUGAUUCUUCCUAAGAUCAACUGCUGCAAUACUAUGACUUUUUCUUCACCAACUGCAACAACUACUACAACAGUCACAAUCUGAUUUGCAGCCUCUUAUGCUAGUUUCUAUGCACCAACUUUUUCAACUGCUUCCUAUGGUCUACUACAAGCUUCAUUGCAAUAGGUGUUUUAUAUUCAAUUGUUCUACUACUGCAUCUCUGACUACAGUCGCAAUCUAUCUGUCUUGGUGUAACUACUCACAAUUGUCCUACUGUUUUUGCUUUUUUCUAUGUGUGAGUGAUUGUAUGUGAGUGUGUGAGAGCAAGUUCAAUGUUCCUUUGCAAUGCCCUUGAACUUGAGGGGGGAUAAUAGUGUGAGUGAGUGAUUGUAUGUGAGUGUUUGAGAUGAUCGAGCAUGUGUUUAUUGAAAUCAAGAGAGUUGAGAGAGGAGUAUAUAUACUCAGGUCCAUUGUAACAGACAAUUAAUAUUUUCUAAUCAAUAUCAAACCCUUCAUCAAUGUAGA